UCAACAGAUGGAAGAGUGUCAUGGAAGCGUGCCUGUGAGGAAGAAACUGGAGCAAAAAAGAUGGAAACCCCAGCAAGGACGAUGAGUAAUGAAGAUUGCACCUUUGCAAUUUAUCUUCUCUCUCACAAAAUUAAUGCUGGAAUUCGAGAUUACUGUGGGGCUGUUUAUUAGUGAUGACAACUGUAUGGGCUUGGUUUGGAAAAUGUGUUCUCUCCUGAGUUGUUGAGUCAUGUGAGGCCAUUUGCAGUUCUUUUUUUUUUCCCCCCUAAAAAUGACAAAGAGUGAUAAUUUAAUUUCUGAAGUCUAAUGGCCACACAGCUAUUUUUGCCUAGAUUCCUUUCUUUUUCAAACAAAAUAAGCAAUUCUCCCUAGAUACCCUUUGUUUCAGAUACAAAUCUCAAGAUAUAAUUUCAAAGAAUAUGAUGUGUUGAGAGGAAAAAUGUUAAACAUAGAACAAGAAUUCAAAUUUACAGAAAAUAGUUUAUUCAAAAUACUUAUUAAACAUAUUUUGUGUGAAGUAUCAUGCUAAAAAUGUGGAGGUGGAGGUGACAAAUAUACAACAAAUUUCUGAAUUCAAGGAGUUUUUCAUUCUAUAAGGGAAGCAGACAUGUAAAAAAUAAUGAGGAAACAACUUCCAGAACAGAGUCAGAGCAGCUUUGUUAUAAUGAGUAGCCAUUUAAAGACAAUAUGAUUAUAUAGAGAUAAUAUGUAUUAAUUUGUUUAUAUAGAUAUAUAAACAGCAAAUAAAUAUUUUUGUAAUUAAGCAGUCCCCACUUACAUCUCGAAUCCUAAUCAAGGACACACAAGGGACAGCAAUCAUUCUCAUCAGUAAGCCUCUCCUCCAUAGGCAGCUAUGUAGACCUUGGGCUACAACCAAAGUUUUGCUAGUUUUCAUGCUGAAUGCCAGAAAUGGGUUUUCCUGGUGAAUUUGGUGUACUCUUAGUUAACAUGAUUAGUAGAUGAAUGUUAGAAGGAGUCCUAUAUUGGUAAAAUUAUAGUGUUCUAAAAGAAAUUGAUUGUCAGGUAUACUUAAGAGACACUUCAGACCCACGCAUGAACAGUAUCUAAGAAUCUAGCAGGACCACUAUUUUUUUUUUUUUUUUGAGUCGGAGUCUCUGUUGUUGCCCGGGC
rnacentral:lncRNA from 1 species